rnacentral:rRNA from 1 species
GACGAACGCUGGCGGCGUGCUUAACACAUGCAAGUCGAACGGAAAGGCCCUGCUUUUGUGUGGUGCUCGAGUGGCGAACGGGUGAGUAACACGUGAGUAACCUGCCCUUGACUUUGGGAUAACUUCAGGAAACUGGGGCUAAUACCGGAUAGGAGCUCCUGCUGCAUGGUGGGGGUUGGAAAGUUUCGGCGGGUGGGGAUGGACUCUCGGCUUAUCAGCUUGUUGGUGGGGUAGUGGCUUACCCAGGCUUUGACGGGUAGCCGGCAUGAGAGGGUGAACGGCCACAUUGGGACUGCGAUACGGCCCAGACUCCAACGGGAGGCAGCAGUGGGGAAUAUUGCACAAUGGGCGGAAGCCUGAUGCAGCGACGCCGCGUGCGGGAUGACGGCCUUCGGGUGGUAAAGCGCUUUCGCCUGUGACGAAGCGUGAGUGACGGUAAUGGGUAAAGAAGCACCGGCUAACUACAUG